rnacentral:rRNA from 1 species
AAGUCGUAACAAGGUUUCCGUAGGUGAACCUGCGGAAGGAUCAUUAUUGAUUGGUCGAAAGACCUUAUCAGAUUCUACCACCUCUGUGAACCGUUGACCUCCGGGUUAAUAAUCAAACAUCAGUGUAACGAACGUAAGAGUAUCUUAAUUAAACAAAACUUUUAACAACGGAUCUCUUGGCUCUCGCAUCGAUGAAGAACGCAGCGAAAUGCGAUAAGUAAUGUGAAUUGCAGAAUUCAGUGAAUCAUCGAAUCUUUGAACGCACCUUGCGCCUUUUGGUAUUCCGAAAGGCAUGCCUGUUUCAGUGUCAUGAAAUCUCAAUCUAAUAUGUUUUCUGAACAUGUUAGGCUUGGACUUGGGUGUCUGCCAGCAAUGGCUCACCUCAAAUGACUUAGUGGAACAUCCCACAUCAGUGUUAGACGUAAUAAGUUUCGUCUCUCCUUGUGGUGAUGACUGCUCAAAACCUGCCAUCGCGCACCUUUUGACUUUGACCUGAAAUCAGGUAGGGCUACCCGCUGAACUUAA